UGGGGAAUUUUGGACAAUGGGCGAAAGCCUGAUCCAGCAAUGCCGCGUGUGUGAAGAAGGCCUUCGGGUUGUAAAGCACUUUUGUCCGGAAAGAAAUCCUUGGCUCUAAUACAGUCGGGGGAUGACGGUACCGGAAGAAUAAGCACCGGCUAACUACGUGCCAGCAGCCGCGGUAAUACGUAGGGUGCAAGCGUUAAUCGGAAUUACUGGGCGUAAAGCGUGCGCAGGCGGUUUGCUAAGACCGAUGUGAAAUCCCCGGGCUCAACCUGGGAACUGCAUUGGUGACUGGCAGGCUAGAGUAUGGCAGAGGGGGGUAGAAUUCCACGUGUAGCAGUGAAAUGCGUAGAGAUGUGGAGGAAUACCGAUGGCGAAGGCAGCCCCCUGGCCAAGUACUGACGCUCAUGCACGAAAGCGUGGGGAGCAAACAGGAUUAGAUACCCCUGGUAGUCCACGCCCUAAACGAUGUCAACUAGUUGUUGGGGAUUCAUUUCCUUAGUAACGUAGCUAACGCGUGAAGUUGACCGCCUGGGGAGUAC
rnacentral:rRNA from 1 species